rnacentral:sRNA from 1 species
CAGAGAACAAUUCCAUUGUAACGAGCUUAUAUAUCUAUAUAUAUAUAAGCUCGUUAUA